GACGAACGCUGGCGGCGUGCUUAACACAUGCAAGUCGAACGGAAAGGCCCUGCUUUUGUUGGGUUCUCGUGUGGCGAACGGGUGAGUAACACGUGAGUAACCUGCCCUUGACUUUCUUAUAUCUUCAGGAAACUGUUGCUAUUACCGCAUAGGAGCUCCUGCUGCAUUGUGGGGGUUGGAAAGUUUCGGCGGUUGGGGAUGGACUCGCGGCUUAUCCGCUUGUUGGUGGGGUAGUGGCUUACCAAGGCUUUGCCGGGUAGCCGGCCUGAGAGGGUGACCGGCGACAUUGGGACUGAGAUACGGCCCAGACUCGUACGGGAGGCAGCAGUGGGGAAUAUUGCACAAUGGGCGGAAGCCUGAUGCAGCAAAGCAGCGGGCGGGAUGACGGCCUUCGGGUUGUAAAACGAAUUCGCCUGAGACGAAGAGAGAGUGACGGUAAUGGGUAAAGAAGCACCGGCUAACUACGUG
rnacentral:rRNA from 1 species